rnacentral:lncRNA from 1 species
GUACAAGGCUGGAGCUGAAUAACGGCAGCUACUAGCUUCUUACUGAGGUACAGACAGGAGCCGGUUCCCUGGAAAGCAGCGAGCUAGCAAUCCACCUUUGCUUAGUUUAAAACGGAAUUCAAACUUGCUUCCUUGAAGUCCUAAAGGUGUGCCUCCCUGUGCCCCUGCAGCCAGGUGGCAGUGUUCCUGUUUGGGAUGGGCACCCUGACCCUCCAGCUCUUCGUGCUGCUUCGGCCCAGAUCCUCCCGGUACUGCAGUCAGCCUCUCCUGGCCAACCUGGUUGGUAACAUGGUCUUCACCCUGCUCUCACUUGGGCUCUUUGUGCUGCUCACUCAGGCGGAGCUGGCCCCUCUGACUCUGAGGACAACGCUGGCCGUAUUUGGUGUGGCAUCCUUUGGUGAAGGAGUCUGCUCUGGGCUGUUAACACUUCUGGCACCAGACUGCGAGAAAACCACCCCUGAACUUUACUACUUAUCCGUGCUGCUGUCAGUGGGUAGCCUGGUAUCCACGGUGCUUUUCUCUGGCAUGGGGCUCAUCUGGCUGUCCAAAGUGACCUGCCCAAGGUCAGAUGCUAAGCCAACAGUCUGAAGCUUGCCUGUGGGUCCUGCUGGUCUCAUGCCUCAUUUACACGCCUGGGCUGACUGAGUCUGCCCCAGCAGCACCCGCCACAUACCGUCAAGCAUCUCAGAAGAUGAUCUCCUAGCUGCCAUUUCUACAUGAAAUGUCAGCUGCACACCUUGGCCACAUAGGAAGCAGGCCAAAACCAGCCAUCAUGGAAGAAAGUUUCAUACCGAGCGAGGAAGUGAGCUGGUCAACUGCUACCACAGGCUCUCCAUUACAAACAAAUUCAUCUGAAGGAAGAGUGAGGAUUUACACAGUACUGUCGAGAUUGUUAUAUUGACUUUCUAUAAGCCUCAGUUCCUAGAAACCAGGGACGUUAGUAUCUGAGUGGACGAAAGCUGCCGAAGUGGGCAUAGUCAAAAGAAAUCACUUAUCUCAGCCAAGUGAAGUUUCACAUGGAAACAGUGGUUGAGACCUUACAUUCAACAAGAUCAAUGUAUCCA